CAUGGUUGUCGUCAGCUCGUGUCGUGAGAUGUUGGGUUAAGUCCCGCAACGAGCGCAACCCUCGUUCUAUGUUGCCAGCACGUAAUGGUGGGAACUCAUGGGAUACUGCCGGGGUCAACUCGGAGGAAGGUGGGGAUGACGUCAAAUCAUCAUGCCCCUUAUGUCUUGGGCUUCACGCAUGCUACAAUGGCCGGUACAAAGGGCUGCAAUACCGUGAGGUGGAGCGAAUCCCAAAAAGCCGGUCCCAGUUCGGAUUGAGGUCUGCAACUCGACCUCAUGAAGUCGGAGUCGCUAGUAAUCGCAGAUCA
rnacentral:rRNA from 2 species